rnacentral:rRNA from 1 species
GGGCCCGCACAAGCGGUGGAGCAUGUGGUUUAAUUCGAUGCAACGCGAAGAACCUUACCUACCCUUGAUCCUACGAAUCUUGCAGAGAUGCGAGAGUGCCUUCGGGAACGUGGUGACAGGUGCUGCAUGGCUGUCGUCAGCUCGUGUCGUGAGAUGUUGGGUUAAGUCCCGUAACGAGCGCAACCCUUGCCCUUAGUUGCCAGCGUGUAAUGGCGGGAACUCUAGGGGGACUGCCGGUGAUAAACCGGAGGAAGGCGGGGACGACGUCAAGUCAUCAUGGCCCUUACGGGUAGGGCUACACACGUGCUACAAUGGUAUGUACAGAGGGCAGCUAAGCCGCAAGGUGGUGCCAAACCCUUAAAGCAUAUCGUAGUCCGGAUUGGUCUCUGCAACUCGAGACCAUGAAGUCGGAAUCGCUAGUAA